GAUGAACGCUGGCGGCGUGCCUAAUACAUGCAAGUCGAGCGAACGGACGAGAUGCUUGCUUCUCUGAUGUUAGCGGCGGACGGGUGAGUAGCACGUGGAUAACCUACCUAUAAGACUGGGAUAACUUCGGGAAACCGGAGCUAAUACCGGAUGAUAUUUUGAACCGCAUGGUUCAAAAGUGAAAGACGGUCUUGCUAUCACUUAUAGAUGGAUCCGCGCUGCAUUAGCUAGUUGGUAAGGUAACGGCUUACCAAGGCAACGAUGCAUAGCCGACCUGAGAGGGUGAUCGGCCACACUGGAACUGAGACACGGUCCAGACUCCUACGGGAGGCAGCAGUAGGGAAUCUUCCGCAAUGGGCGAAAGCCUGACGGAGCAACGCCGCGUGAGUGAUGAAGGUCUUCGGAUCGUAAAACUCUGUUAUUAGGGAAGAACAUAUGUGUAAGUAACUGUGCACAUCUUGACGGUACCUAAUCAGAAAGCCACGGCUAACUACGUG
rnacentral:rRNA from 1 species